rnacentral:rRNA from 1 species
UACGGAGGGUGCAAGCGUUGUUCGGAAUUACUGGGCGUAAAGGGCGCGUAGGCGGCCUGCUAAGUCAGAUGUGAAAGUCCACGGCUCAACCGUGGAAGUGCAUUUGAAACUGUCAGGCUUGAGUAUCGGAGGGGAAAGUGGAAUUCCCGGUGUAGAGGUGAAAUUCGUAGAGAUCGGGAGGAACACCGGUGGCGAAGGCGACUUUCUGGACGAAUACUGACGCUGAGGCGCGAAAGCGUGGGGAGCAAACAGG